rnacentral:misc_RNA from 1 species
GAGUAAAACUCAAACUCAAGAGACCAACGCAAAGAAAUGAUAAAAAAGGAGAAUUAGGAAUCUGUAGCGGCACAGUAAGAUCCUUUCUGCCGAUGGAGUGCCGACAUCUUGGCCUGGCAUUGGAAUUGGCGGCAUCAACGCACUGUGCGCGCCACGUCUGUGUCUUCUCUUUCAGCUUGUAGGCCGCGGCUGUUCAUGGGUAAGAGUGAUGCAUGGCUGAGGAAUAACACCGUUGUGCAGGAAUCUGCUGACGCGCUCCUGUCUGCAUGCCCCUCCAUCCCCUACUCCUACUCCUGCUCGUCUGCUGAUCUUUUACAGAGGGCUGCUAUUCACCCUUCAUUUUCUGAAUGCCCAGCAGACUGUGUCACUACUGGCUGCCGACUGCCGUACGUAUUUGACAUGCAUCAUGGUCCAGAUCUGGCCUUGAUGGUGGAUAUGGUACGGCAGCUCUCUAAGGUACUAGUCCAAUCCAACGUUUUGGAAUUCCUAUUAGUUUUCUUAGAUAUAUAACGGAAGGAUCAAGGGUCCGUUAGGUUUUCACGGAAUCGUUCCUGGCCGACUUGCUUCACUAAUUUAUAUAAGCUUUGAUCAGCCGAAACAAUUCCGACAAACGGACUAAGGAU